AUGAACGCUGGCGGCGUGCUUAACCCAUGCAAGUCGAACGGGAAACCUUUUAUUGAAGCUUCGGCAGAUUUAGCUGGUUUCUAGUGGCGGACGGGUGAGUAACGCGUGGGUAACCUGCCUUAUACAGGGGGAUAACAACCAGAAAUGGUUGCUAAUACCGCAUAAGCGCACAGGACCGCAUGGUUCGGUGUGAAAAACUCCGGUGGUAUAAGAUGGACCCGCGUUGGAUUAGCUAGUUGGCAGGGUAACGGCCUACCAAGGCGACGAUCCAUAGCCGGCCUGGGGGGGUGAACGGCCACAUUGGAACUGAGACACGGCCCAGACUCCUACGGGAGGCAGCAGUAGAGAAUAUUGCACAAUGGGGGAAACCCUGAUGCAGCGGCGCCGCGUGAAGGAAGAAGUAUCUCGGUAUGUAAACUUCUAUCAGCAGGGAAGAUAGUGACGGUACCUGACGAAGAAGCCCCGGCUAACUACGUG
rnacentral:rRNA from 1 species